AUGGCGUCGCCCGCUCCCGCGACCGCGAAGCCCAUCGCUCUCCGGCGGCCGCCGGUCCCAGUCCGCGGCGGAUUCUGCCCGGCGCGUCCCUCCAUGGCUGCGGCGGCAGGCCGGUUCAGAGUCUCGGCCUCCGCUUCCGCCUCGGACGUGCCCGACUUCCUCUCCUCCGACUGGCUUGAAACACGCAAGAAGAAGCCUUUGGGCCCCAGGUUGAAUUUUAAUGCAGAAGAAGCAGUGGAGUACCAGCUUGAGGCCUUGAAAUACAAUGACAAACCCCGCCCGGAUUAUGGGGUAGAGGUCAUGUACCGGUUUGCAGGCUUUGAUCCAUUUGAAAGGUCAACUUAUUUUGGACGACAGUUUGAUCUUGGGCAGUUCGAGCGUUUCCGGCGGAUAUUUCACCAUUCGACUUACAGAGUGCUGCUUGGCCACAAAGAAAGAGAGAUAUUAAGCAGAUUAUGGGUUGAAGAGAACCGGUUUAAGCAGAGAGUCUGGGUCCGAGGAGCUCGCCCGGAGGAAGAAGAGAUAUUCCAGUUCACAAUGGUUCAGAGAGUUGGCGGCUCAUGGGAUGGUUACUGGCUAACCGAGAGCUUGACCAACGACGACGGGGACGCAUUCUCAGGCGGGGUUGCUUAUUGA
rnacentral:rRNA from 1 species